GGCCGCCGUGGCUUAGCCCGGUUAAAGCGGCUGAUUCGUAAGAUGGUCCGAAAGAUCAGCAGUUCAUGGGUUCGAAUCCCAUCGGCGGCUU
rnacentral:tRNA from 1 species